UUUUAUUAAAAGAAAAAGGGGUGAAAAGAACAAAGUUUUGUCCAUCUUUGUUCAUCAUAGCUGAAAGUUAGAGAAGAGAAAGGAGAGGAGAAAGCUCUUGAGUAUUCGGUCAUUAGGAGGAGGAAAAUUGAAGGUAAGUUCUUGGUACCUUGCUUCUAUUUUGAGGUUCAUGAGUUCUUCUUGAUUCUACCUUAACUCUUGAAGUAUAUUUUGAUUUUUAGUUGUGUUGUGAGCAUUUAGUCAUGAAUUAAAAUGAAGGAAAUGGUUGUUGUUUCAUGUUCUUUUGAUGAAAAAUGGAAGAUAGGUGAAGUUGAGCCAAACAAAUGAGCAUGCAUGUGCCUUAGAUGUUAAAGGGAAAAAUCAGCUAACAUGUUGUGCUUUAAAAUGAUGAAAUGGAGAUUAUACUUAAGUAAAAUCAUAGAUAUGUGAUGAUUGAUUGGUGAUAUACAUGUUUAAAUAACAUGCAUGCAAGGUAUGUGUGAAAGAGUGAUUUGGUAAUAAAUCUGCUUGGGGCAGCAGCAGUAACGUGACUUUGGAAAAUCACCAUAAAUUGUGGGAGAUGAAUUAGAAGCUGAAUAAAUCAUGUAAUUAAAUUCUAUUGAGUCUAGUUUCAAAUGAAAUAAACGAGAACAUAUUUUGAAUUCUGUACAAUGAGAAAUUUGAUUCGUAAUGAAGAGUGGUCAGAUUAGUCAAAUAGUGAAACAUCCGAAACUUUGAGAAAAAUCUGGUAUUGAUUGGCAAAACAAAAAAUUCUGAAAAUUUUAUGGAUAUAAGAUAUAUGAGUCUAUUUUCAGGGAAAAUUAACGGCACUUGAUUUGGAGUUUCGUAGCUCCAGUUAUAAAUGAUUUAGUGACUGUUGCUCAGGAAGACAGCUUGCAGUGAAAUUAUGAUUAUGUGGUAAACAUUGACAAAAAUUUGUUAAUGAGUUGCUUAUUGAUUUCUUAUAAGCUUACUAUGAUUUGUAGGUGUGGUUGGCUGAAUAUUGUAAGGGGUUAAUACGUAGUUUGUAUUCGAAUAGUUAGAUUAACGUGUUAGUAAUCCAAUUGUAGGCGGUUCGUGUGUGGAUCUCGUCAGUAUAUCGUCGCAAACAGGUGUGUAACUAACACCCUCUUUCUUAGUCUAGAUCGGCAAAAGUCGAAAAGCCGAAAUGCCGAAAACCGGUAUUUUGUAGAUUUGCGAGUGUGCGAAUGCUCGCGAGGUAAAUCGAUUAAUGUUUUAGGUAAGUUGCAAUGUUUUGACUACAAAGUGCAUGAUUUCUGUGCCCUCGAUAUUUUUGGGCUUAAUGGGCCAAAAUUGGAAUGAUGGGCCAACGGGCCCAAUUCGGUAAGAACCCUCGGUACGUGAUUCUGUUAGUACGUGAAAAGUAGGAAUAUGCAUGAAAAACUCUAAAAUAGAUAAAUUACUGAAAUACCUUUAAAAGUGGAAAAUUUACAGUUUUACCCCUAGUAGAUAAAUUACCGAAAUACCCCUAGGGUUAAAUUGACCUAAAUGCAUGUUUGACUGUUGUUAUUUACUGCAUGCCAUGUUGUUAUUAUCUAAUGCAUGGGACUGGGAUAUUGAUGGAGGAAGUACUGAAAGUGGCUUGUCCACGUACUGGAGGCUUUGCCCUAAUUUACUGUUAACUGAGCAGCAAGGCUGCAACUGUGGAGUGUUGGGCUGGGUGGGUUGGGCUAUUCCCCACAUGGAGUGUAUGGCUGGUACGGGUGGAGUGUAGUGGUUGGUGGGUUGAGUAGUCUCCCCAAAUGGGCUUGCAUAUGUUUACUGAUGUUGCAUGUAUUUUGAAAUGGGCCUAUGGGCCAUACUGUUAUCUAAAUAAGGGGCUAAGGCCCAGUUUAUUGUAACCUGAAAAGGGCUCUGCCCCAGUACCACUGUUACCUGAAUGGGCUUAGGCCCAAUAGGCUUGAGCUGACUUGGGCUUUGAAUGGGUUUUCCUUACACACUGAGUUUCCCCAAACUCACCCCUUUUAUUUUCAUCCACGCAGGAAAUCCCCAACCAUAGUGGGCUUGGAGCUGUGAGGAAAUUCGGAUUGGCCACCCGUUCUGAAAGUUUGGUUUUCUUCUGGUGAACUGGACAUCCUUUUAUUUACGUUUGAAGUUUUGGGUUUUUAAAUGUAAUAAGGCCGCUUAAUUAUUUUUAAUGGUUUUAAUAUGUAUUACUAAGAUAGGUAUUACUUAUUUUAACUGUUGAAAUUGGAUAGCUUUAGGGCGCGUUUUCAAAAACAACAGUUGAUUUCAAAAUAACACGACAACAAGCAAAGCUUCCGCAAUGAAAGUAUUUUCCAAAAUUAAUCACUUUUCCUAAAAAUGACUUAAUCAAAUCAGUUUCCUAGAAAUAUCCAUGAUGUUAAGGUGUGGCAAUGGCGGUAUGCAUGUCUAGGAUUGGAUCCGAAGGGAGCUUGGUAUUUAAGCAGUCCGAUGGACUCACCACCUCUUUUCCGGUUUCCUACCUAGUGCACAGCUUCCAUUCACUUUAACCUAUAAUGAAAUUAUCUUUUAAAACACUAAGUAGGUUUUUUUCUGGAUCAACAAUAUAAAAUGUUUUGAACGCUUCGAUGUGGCAUGUCGGAUCCGGCCAUAACGUCUGGGCCGGGUUUGGGGUGCUACAAAAUUUCUAGAAAAUGAAUGAAAAAAAUAAAAUUACAUAGUUUUUUGCCACAAGGCAUUUCUUGGGUCUUCAAUUGCCAUCGCUCCAUCUUCUCCUUGUCAUGUACUCCUUUUGAUUAAUUACAUUUAAAUCCAUGUUCGUUUCUAGCUCACAAGAAUUCUAUGAAUUUUAAAAAAUAGUCCUAUGUCUAUUUCCUAAGAAUCACAACCUUGACAAUAAAAAAUAAUUAUAUAACAAAUAUAUAAUAUCGCACCCAUUCCCAUAUAUAACUCAAAACAUGCAUAAGAUCUAAAGAACUUCACUUUCUAUGUAAUCAAGUCAUUCAAGAAGAAGAGAAAUGUAACAGCCCGAUUUAGACCCUAAUCGAAACGGUAGUUUCGAGACCACGAAUCCGAGUUAGAAAAAUAUUUUAAUAUUAUUUUCCAUGCUUAUAAUAUGUGAAUUGAUAUCUGUGAAAGUUUCGUGUGGAAAUUUUAUUAUUUGUGUGCUUAAUUUGAAAAAAAUGACUUAAUCGCGUAAAAUGUAAAAGUGGCUAGCCAUUUGUUAAAAGUGCCUAUUUGCUUUUAUUAAAUAAAUUUAAGAUCCUUAUGAUGAAAUUGAACCAUUAUAAAGUUAGUGGAAUUAAUGGUUUGGCAAAGUUCUUAAAUGGAUUAUUUUUAAAGGUUAGUUUUGUAAAUUAGUAAAAUAAGUUAAUAAAAUAAAUCAAAUGCAUGAAAAUAAAGCCAUUAUCACCUUUGUUUUUGCCGAAAAUCAAAAGAAAGGAAAAGAUGAAAGCUUGUUGAACAUUCGGCUAUGGUUAGCUUGAGUUGGUAAGUGAAUUUUGUUCGGUUUUUGAUAAUUUCUAUGUUUUUGUGAUCGUUGCUUCGAAUACUAGUAAACCCAUGCUUCAAUUUUCGAAUUUGAUGAUGAAUUGGAGAAUUGCUAUUAAUGAUAGCUUGAUGUUUUUGUUGUUUGAUGAUGAAAAAUGAAUAUUUGUUGAUAGAUUAUUAUGUUUAAUUAAGUGGUUUUUGAUAAAAAUCCAAAUUUGGGAUUAAAUUGUGGAUUUUGUAAAUUAAGCGGUCAAAAUGUGAAAUAAAUGAAAGAAAUGGGCUGUUAUGAACCUUAGAAGCCUUAGAAAAAUUCAACUAUACUAGAGUUUAGUGAAAGUAUGUGUAUUUUGUGUUUUGUGAAAUAGGGACUAAAUUGCGAAAAAUGUGAAAUGUUAGGGGCAAAAUUGUAAUUAGCCUAUUUAUGUGUUUUUGGAUGAAUUUGAUUGAAUAUAUGAUUAAAUAAGUUGAAUUUGUAUUGAAUUAGAUCAAGAAAUGUAGAAAUCGGAUUUGGACCGGGGAAAAACCAAAGUUGUCGACUAGUUGUCUCAUCCUAAUUACCGUUGUCUGAGGUAAGUUUACAAGCAAAUAAACAUACUUAAUUUUAAUUAAUACAAAGUAUAUAUGCUGAAAUGAAAUAUAUGAAUUAAUAUAUGCUAAUGCUGAAUGUGUAUAAGCAUGGUAACUAUGUUCAUGCAUUCGUUUCGACUGAGCUAUAACAUUUGAAAGUCCGUAUAAACUAUAUGGAAUAUUUGGAAUUUUUGAUAUAUGAAUUGUUUACGAGACAACUUUAUAAUAGUGAUAUUCGGGCUUUGAGACUAGCAAGCCUUGUGCUGGUGAAUUAAAUCGGGCUUAUGCCUAGCAGGCUUAUUGUCAGUGUAUAAAAUCAGACUUUGAGUUUAGCAGGCCUUGUGCCGGUGUGAGAUUCAGGCUUAGGCCUAGCAGGCUUUAUGCCAGUGAAUUAUUAUAAGUUUAUGCCUAAAAGACUUUAUGCUGAUGUGGUAAUUGAAUACGUUAAACGAGCUAAAUGAUUAGGUAUGAGUUAGCUUUUUGUUUACUUGAAAAUAAGGUAAGCUGAUUAUUUGAUAUGUGAUACAAACAUAUGUAUGAUGUUAGUCUGAAAUUUGUGAGUAAUUGUGAAAUAUAUUCAGCCAAAGUUAAGCAUAAUUAUGUGGUAUAAAGGUUUGAGACAUGAUUAUAUGAAAACAAGUGUUUAAAGAUUCGACUUUAUGCAUUAAUAAUAUGAUUUUCAUAGUGUAUGACAUUUUGGUAUAGAUACAUGUAUAUUCGGCUACACGAUAAGUGUAAUUAUGAGAUAUUAAAGUUUGAUUCAAGAAUAUAUGUUUGUGGGUGUGUAUAUUCGAUUAUAUAAUGGUAUUAUGGUUUUGAAAUUGAAUGUUACAUUGAUAAUAGUUAUAGUACAUUCGUUCAAAGGUUACGUAUAGUGAUAUCAUAUUGUGGCCUAUGUGCAAAUUUAUAUAAAUGAUUAUAUAUUGCCUAAAUGAUAUAAAGAAAGAAUAAUGAUAAGUGAUUCAUGAAUAUAUGUAUAUGAUUUUAUAUAUUUAUUCAGUUAAUUAUUGAUAAUGUGGCUUUGAAAUUUGAAUGAUAUAUAUAUUAAUAUUAGUUGUAUGGAUAUUUGGUAAAAGUGAAAGUAUAUGUAUUAUAUGAAAUUAUAAGUUUGAAGUUAAAUGUGAUUAUGAUAGUAUAAAUUGGUUUGGUAAUUAAAUCGAUAUUGACAAUGAGUUAUUUAUUUGCUUAUAGCUUACUAAGCUCUCAAAGCUUAUUCUGUGUGUUUUUCCUAUGUUUAUAGAUUUUCAGAGAUCUGCUCGAGUUGUAAGUCAGUGGAGAUGACAUCACACUAUACGGUUAUCAUUUCAGUAAAUAAUAUUUUAAGGCUCGGUUAUGUGGCAUGUAUAGGCUAGUCUUGAAGUUAAUUGUUUUGAAUGAGUAUGUAUUAAAGCCAUGCGAAAGUGGCUUAACUACCUUGCUUGAAAUCAG
rnacentral:lncRNA from 1 species